CUAAGUGGCGGACGGGUGAGUAAUGUAUAGUUAAUCUGCCCUUUAGAGGGGGAUAACAGUUGGAAACGACGGCUAAUACCCCAUACUCCUUUUAUCUUAAUGAUAAUUGGGAAACGUUUUUUCGCUAAAGGAUGAAACUAUAUGGUAUCAGGUAGUUGGUAGGGUAAGAGCCUACCAAGCCAAUGACGCCUAGCUGGUCUGAGAGGAUGAUCAGCCACACUGGAACUGAGACACGGUCCAG
rnacentral:rRNA from 1 species